GAUGAACGCUGGCGGCGUGCUUAACACAUGCAAGUCGAACGGUAAGGCCCUUCGGGGUACACGAGUGGCGAACGGGUGAGUAACACGUGGGUGAUCUGCCCUGCACUUCGGGAUAAGCCUGGGAAACUGGGUCUAAUACCGGAUAGGACCACUGCCUGCAUGGGUGGGGGUGGAAAGCUUUUGCGGUGUGGGAUGGGCACGCGGCCUAUCAGCUUGUUGGUGGGGUGAUGGCCUACCAAGGCGACGACGGGUAGCCGGCCUGAGAGGGUGAACGGCCACACUGGGACUGAGAUACGGACCAGACUCCUACGGGAGGCAGCAGGGGGGAAUAUUGCACAAUGGGCGCAAGCCUGAUGCAGCGACGCCGCGUGCGGGAUGACGGCCUUCGGGUUGUAAACCUCUUUCAGCACCGACGAAGCGCAAGUGACGGUAGGUGCAGAAGAAGGACCGGCAAACUACGUGCCAGCCGCCGCCGUAA
rnacentral:rRNA from 1 species